UGAGGAAUAUUGGUCAAUGGCCGAGAGGCUGAACCAGCCAAGUCGCGUGAAGGAAGAAGGAUCUAUGGUUUGUAAACUUCUUUUAUAGGGGAAUAAAGUGGAGGACGUGUCCUUUUUUGUAUGUACCCUAUGAAUAAGCAUCGGCUAACUCCGUGCCAGCAGCCGCGGUAAUACGGAGGAUGCGAGCGUUAUCCGGAUUUAUUGGGUUUAAAGGGUGCGUAGGUGGUGAUUUAAGUCAGCGGUGAAAGUUUGUGGCUCAACCAUAAAAUUGCAGUUGAUACUGGGUGUCUUGAGUACAGUAGAGGCAGGCGGAAUUCGUGGUGUAGCGGUGAAAUGCUUAGAUAUCACGAAGAACUCCGAUUGCGAAGGCAGCUUGCUGGACUGUAACUGACGCUGAUGCUCGAAAGUGUGGGUAUCAAACAGGAUUAGAUACCCUGGUAGUCCACACAGUAAACGAUGAAUACUCGCUGUUUGCGAUAUACAGUAAGCGGCCAAGCGAAAGCGUUAAGUAUUCCACCUGGGGAGUACGCCGGCAACGGUGAAACUCAAAGGAAUUGACGGGGGCCCGCACAAGCGGAGGAACAUGUGGUUUAAUUCGAUGAUACGCGAGGAACCUUACCCGGGCUUGAAUUGCAACUGAAUGAUGUGGAGACAUGUCAGCCGCAAGGCAGUUGUGAAGGUGCUGCAUGGUUGUCGUCAGCUCGUGCCGUGAGGUGUCGGCUUAAGUGCCAUAACGAGCGCAACCCUUAUCGAUAGUUACCAUCAGGUUAUGCUGGGGACUCUGUCGAGACUGCCGUCGUAAGAUGUGAGGAAGGUGGGGAUGACGUCAAAUCAGCACGGCCCUUACGUCCGGGGCUACACACGUGUUACAAUGGGGGGUACAGAAGGCAGCUACACGGCGACGUGAUGCUAAUCCCGAAAGCCUCUCUCAGUUCGGAUUGGAGUCUGCAACCCGACUCCAUGAAGCUGGAUUCGCUAGUAAUCGCGCAUCAGCCACGGCGCGGUGAAUACGUUCCC
rnacentral:rRNA from 1 species